ACGCUCGACACCUACGGGAGGCGCAGUGGGGAAUAUUGCACAAUGGGGGAAACCCUGAUGCAGCGACGCCGCGUGAAGGAAGAAGUAUUUCGGUAUGUAAACUUCUAUCAGCAGGGAAGAAACUGACGGUACCUGACUAAGAAGCACCGGCUAAAUACGUGCCAGCAGCCGCGGUAAUCUGAGCGGCUGGCAAGGC
rnacentral:rRNA from 1 species